rnacentral:tRNA from 1 species
UUUGAGGUGGCUCAGUGGUUAAAAGCCCUGGCUGCUCUUCCAGAGGACCUGGGUUCAAUUCCCAGCAUCCAUA